UAGGCUGCAACUCGCCUACACGAAGUCGGAAUCGCUAGUAAUCGCGGAUCAGCAUGCCGCGGUGAAUACGUUCCCGGGCCUUGUACACACCGCCCGUCACACCAUGGAAGUUUGCAAUGCCCAAAGUCGGUGGCCUAACCAUUUGGAGGGAACCGCCUAAGGCAGGACAGAUGACUGGGGUGAAGUCGUAACAAGGUAGC
rnacentral:rRNA from 1 species